rnacentral:sRNA from 1 species
GUGAAGAGGUUAAACUGUGAUACCUGUCACCCCACUGGUUGCUAGGGUGGAUUUGGCUCCUCUGAUUGGCUAGGCUAGUGUUCCCUUCCUUCUCCACGUGUGCCCUUCCCCAAAGCUGCAGCAGAUUAAGGAGGGCCAGUGGUCAAGGGUAUGGAAAUGUUUUCACUUUAAAAUGACAUUGUCGACUAUAUCAGUUU